AGAGCCCUCAGGGCCUAAGAGCCACUGCAGCGGGCAAAGCUUUGCUACAGGCAGGUAGAAUCUGAGCGUAUGUAUGUGCGAAAGAGAGAGACAGAGAAGGAGAGGAGAGUGCCUGCCUCAUCUGCCCCUGCAGGUGCUCACCUCUGCUAGGACUUGGCUGGGCACAAACAGAUUAGCAGGCUGAGCGCUGGAGCCUUGGUUUCACCCACCCCACCUUUGAUCUGCGCCUGCCUUUGGCCAAGAGCCAGACACUAUCAGAAAAGAUGACUGCAGCCAAAACUUAUAAAGUGCUUACUGCGCAGCAGGCCUGGUUCUCAGCACUUCUCCCACACUGAACCCCUUGGUUCUCAUUACCCCUAAGAGGUGGGCACUGUUACUGUAUCGGUUUUGCCAAGAAGCAACCUUGCUGGUGAAAGUUGUAGCUGGGAUUCUAGUCUGGAUCCAGCACACACCCUUGUGAGCAUCUCUUUUGUCCACUGUCUCUGAAUUCUACAGAACCCAAAUGGCCGCCCCCUGCCCACUCUACAGUCUAGGGAUCACCUCUUCAGAGAAACCCCAGGGAUCAUGCCUGCCCCUGAGCCACAGGCUGCAUGCCAGUCAGGACUCUAGUCUCAGCCAAGUGAAUUUUUCUUUGCCUUCUCGAGCCUCUGAACUGAACGUUAUCCCUGACUCAACUGUGAAGAUCCCUGGAGGCAGGGGAUGAAUCUCCCAGCCCUCUGCAUUCCUGGCACUAGUCAGAAUAGUGCCUCACUGGGUAGAUGCUCACCUUCGAUGAUGACAUUUUGAAUCAGUUUCCUCCACUUACUUCAAUCCAUGUUUCUCAAAGGUCUGCUGUAUGCCAAGCCACUCCAUCUAUGGGAACUCAUUUAAUCCUCCCAGCAGCCCUAGAGGAAAACCUAAUAUUGACCCCAUUUUGGAAAAAGUGGGGCUCAGAGAAGAGAACCAACUCACUUGAAGUUACAUGACUCGUACACCACAGAGAUGGCACUAGAGGGUUAAGUGUGUCUUGCCCCAGAGCCAGGUCUGCCUGCUCCUUUUGAACACAUCAUGUGCUUUCAUGCUUGAAUGCCAUUGUCCAAGCUGUACCCUCUCCCUGGAUCCUCUUUCCAUCUGAGCAGCUCCCACUCAUUCUUCCUGACCUGCUUUGGUGGAGCACAGGAGGAUGGAGCCCCAUAGUGUAGGAGAGUGUCUGGUCUAUAUUGUGCACCCAAGAUAGUCUUGGCAAGUGGACGGAUGGGUGGAGGGUCCAGCAGACCUGAAUUCUACCAUGUAACCAAUUGUGUGACCUCAGCUGCAUAGUCUGUAAAAUGGGCAAGAUAAAAAUGGUUUCCACCCUCCAGGGAUGCUGCUAGGAUUACAGGAGAUCAUGUAUCUAAUGCGCUUAGUUAGCACAGUGUCUGGCACUCAGUGAUUGCAUUAAAUCUUAGCUAUUGCUGCUUUUACAAUCAAAAGUCACUUCUGAAAAGCCAACUGGGCUCCCUGGGGCCAAAUAAAUAGCUUCAUCCUGCAACAAAUUCUGCUCCCAUAGUAUCUUAUAACUCCCUCCCCUUCAGGCAGGGAGCUCCUGGAGGAACAGAGGCUCCCUUUCCUCCAUCUUGCCAGCCCCAGUGGUGCCUAACACACGGUUAGGUGCUCAGCAAACGUUUGCAGUUUGCGCGCGCACGCGGCGACUUUUGUGUUCAAAAGAACACAUUCCGCAAUUGCAGCAGCAAAAUUCUGUCGCUGCAGCCAACACUUGGGAAGUGCUCACAACGGUUCUGCGCUGAACCCCUUUUCUCAUUACCCCCGCAAGAGGUGGGCACUGGUUGCUCCACUUUCCAGGUGAGGUUUUGCUGAAUAAAAGCUUUGCUCAGCACCGUGGGGUCCCCACUCCCAGAGAUGAGGCGGUAUGAGGUGAGGAUGCAGGGAACUUUAAAUGUUCCAGGAUUGGGGGGGCGCGGGAGGAAACCCCUCGGUAAUUGCGGGGCUUCCCCCACCCCUGCGCUGGAUUAGAGGCUCCGCCGCUUCCUCUGAGGCUCGCUAGCGCUUCCUGGGCCCCUUUGAAGUGGGUUCUGGGCAAAUCCUGCCCGCGGGGCCCGAGUGGGCGGGGCCUCCGGGAGGGGCGGGGCCUCCGCCGGACCCGCAGCCAGGCACCACCCCCAGGGUCUCGGGGGCGCCGGCUGCCCACCUCUUGAUGGGCACUUAUCUUUUUUGUAGUCGUAGGUGGACAGAAUGCCCUUAUUUGUUUGUUUUUACGUGGUAUUGGACCGAACCCAGUGCCUCACACAUGCUAGGUGAGCGCUCCGCCGCGGAGCUACAGCCCCAGCCCCCGCCGGGCUUCUUAGUCCCCUCCUCCAGUCCAGGCUCCUGGCCAGCGCCCCUCAUUCCGCUCGGCCUUCCUUUCCCCAUCCAGCCACAUCCCCCUCCCCUUCCAACUCAGCUUAGGCUUCCACUCCCUCCCUGUCCACCCGGACCCCAGGCCUUUCCCCAGCCUCUGAGUGUCUGGUCUGCAGCCAGGUGUUUUAAAAAAAUCAGAGCAAAAGCAGUGGCCACUUGUUGAGCCUGACUAGGUGCCAGGCUCUGGGCCCAGGGUACUUCAGCCUCACCUCAUCCAUGCGCACAAGUGCUGGGGGUGGGAGGACGACUCUGCCCCCAUUUGAACUACUGAUGCAACCACUGAAGUUCUGAGAAGUUGGGAGCUCAAGGUCAGGAAACUGAAAGGGCAAAAGUGUCUUCAAGGGGCUGGGGAUG
rnacentral:lncRNA from 1 species